CCGAAGUUUCUCUCAGGAUAGCUGGGACGGGCGUUGUUUCCGAACGGCUUGUGAUCCCACAGUGAGGCGCAUCAGCAAUGGAGUUUCGUCCGGUAAAGCGAAUGACUAGAGGCACGCGGGGGUGCAAGGCCCUCGCACUAUUCUCAAACUUUAAAUGGGCGAGAACCCCGGCAUUCGUGCUCGAUGCACGGGGCGUCCAACGCGGCCAGCACCAAUGCGCUCCCUGUGCCAACGGACUCUAGACUCUCCUCCUUGCUGUUGUCUGCUUCUGCUCUCUUAUGGUAUGUGUGGUGACUCAGGUCUAGUACGAAUCAUCCCGAUCCUCAGUGGGUCAUUUCUGGUAAGCAGGACUGAUAAUGAGGGAUGAACCUAACGUUGUGCUAAGGGGCCUAAACGAUAGCUAUCUCUUGAUACCAUUGGAAGGGUGCUGCUGGCUGAAGACAGCAGGACGGUGGUCAUGGAAGUCGACAUCCGCUAAGUAGUGUGUAACAACUAAUCCUGCCGAAGCGAGCAACCCUGAAAAUGGAUGGCACUCAAGCUCUCUCCCGAUGCACAACCGUCGGUGGCAAUAAAGGCUUCAGUAAGUACUGUCAGAACUCUAAGUCUCAAAGCCCCGACGAGUAGGGUGGCGUGCCGGUAAGCUUUGAAGGCCAAGACGUGAGUCAGGCUGGAGCUGCCGGUAAUGCAGAUCUUGGUGGUAGUAGCAAGUACUCUGGUGAACAACCUGGAGCUGUGAGGCUUGGACAAGGGUUCCAUGUCAACAGUGAUUGAACAUGGGUGAGUCGUACCUAAGCCAACUGUGAAAGCAGUGACAUCCCGUCAAGGGCUUUGCACAAACGCAAGUGAUGUAUUGCAACAAACACACACUCGUGUGGAGAGUUGUUGUUACAAGUUAGUGGAGUGGUGUGUGUUGAGCGAAAGCAUAAACUUAUAGCCUUGUUGCAGUAAAGUAACAACCAUGUGCUUGGAUAAAAAUGGUUUUCGCUGAAGUACCAUCCAGUGCAAGUAGCUCACACACUCACAAGUAACACAACCCACACAGAGGGCUAUAAAACCAGACAGGCUAUAAGAAGGAACCGGACAGGCAAGACCCAGGCGCGCUUUUUCUCUAUAACGUCCGCGAAGGACAGUACAGGAUAGAGUGUUGUGUGUUGCAUCCCUUCUAGCGUCACUGUGCUCGAAGCUCGCGAUUGGUUUUAAUGUCUGGCGAAAGGGAACGGGGACUUUGUUCCCUGACCCGUCCCGGCACCCUCGAUGGCUUCCGCCAAUCACCGGUCGGAGUAAUCCGAACCAGGCCACAGCCACCGGCAGCCGCCCAAGGAAGAGUUUUCUUUUCUGCUUAACGCACGAGGUCAUCCCUGGAAGCAGUUCGGCUGGCGACAGGGUGUCCCGUUGCGGCAGAGCGCCACGACUGUCGUGUGCGUCUUGGUGUUUCUGCUGGUCCGUGAAAACGUGGUCGAGGGGUUUUAGCAAAGAACUUGCCUUAAACACUCGCAUGUCGUAUGACUGUGUGUGUAAAACGCCCGACAAGUUCGGGACUGACCGUACCCUAUAUCCGCAUCCGGUAUCCAAGGUUCGUAGCCUCUGCAGUCCCAGACACAUGUAGGUAAGGGAAGUCGGCAAACUCGAUCCGUAACUUCGGGAUAAGGAUUGGCUCUGAGGGCCGAGCUGGGCCGGGCUUGCUUGCAACGCAGUACCUAUAGUGACCGGAGUUUAAGGAGUGUACGGGGCCUUAGUAAGGUUUCUCUCUUUCGGGCGAGACGCACGAACCGGUCUACUGCUCCGCUCCAACCACGAACGGCUGUGACGGCAGGUCUCUGGUCGGGUGUACAUCCAAAUGUUGGCCUCCAGCAUGUCUGGUUGGCGGCAGUGCAUCCCUGGCCGACGGCUCCAGCGACUAGCGGCUAACUCAGAACUGUCAUGGACCAAGGGAAUCCGACUGUCUAAUUAAAACAAAGCGUUGUGACGGCCCCUGUUGGGUGUUGACGCAACGUGAUUUCUGCCCAGUGCUCUGAAUGUCAAAGUGAAGAAAUUCACCGAAGCGCGGGUUAACGGCGGGUGUAACUAUGACUCUCUUAAGGUAGCCAAAUGCCUCGUCAUCUAAUUAGUGACGCGCAUGAAUGGAUUAACGAGAUUCCCACUGUCCCUAUCUACCGUCUGGUGAACCAACAGGCAAGGGAACGGACUUGCAUGAACACAGCGGGGAAAGAAGACCCUGUUGAGCUUGACUCUAGUCUGAAUCUGUACGGAGACAUCGGAGGUGCAGCAUAAGUGGGAGGGCCAGGUUGCUUCGGCGGCCACCGAACCGUGAGAUACCACUACUCCCUUCGUCUCCGUACUCCACUCGGUUAUCGGGAGCAAAUACAAAGUGAAUGACGGCGUCUGGAUGCUUCGUGGUCGAGUGUUUCGCGGUGUCUCUCUUUGCGUUUUUCGUUUGCGUGCUUGCACGUGGGCGUUGGCGUGGAGGGAGCCCGUGUUCUCUCUUCCACUCCAAAGGAGCUCCUGCCUCAUCCUGCUGAGGACAGAUUCAGGUGGGGAGUUUGACUGGGGCGGUACAUCUGUCAAACGAUAACGCAGGUGUCCUAAGGCCAGCUCAACGAGAUCAGAAAUCUCGUGUAGAGCAUAAGGGCCUAUGCUGGCUUGAUCCAGACUUUCAGUAUGAGUACGGACGGUGAAAGCCAGGCCUAUCGAUCCUUUUGACGUUACUGAGUUUAUAGCAAGAGGUAUCAGAAAAGUUACCACAGGGAUAACUGGCUUGUGGCGGCCAAGCGUCCUUAGCGACGUCGCUUUUUGAUCCUUCGAUGUCGGCUCUUCCUAUCAUUGAGUUGCAACCGUCGCCAAGCGUCGGAUUGUUCACCCAUAUCAGGGAACGUGAGCUGGGUUUAGACCGUCGCGAGACAGGUUAGUUUUACCCUCCUGUGGUCUGAAGCUUUAUUUAAAGCUUGUCGUGUCGCUAUGGAAGUUGUGGCCAGUACGAGAGGAACGUCACAACCGAACCUCUGGUCCCGGACUCGGCCGAGAGGCCGGUGGUCCCAGGCUACGUUCGUACAAGUAAGGCCGAACGCCUCUUAAGCCUGAAACCAUUCCAGAACAUGAGCGAUGCUGUCAGCAGUUGGCCUCUACGCUACGCGCUUGCGCGUGUGUGGCAUCGGGAGCUAGCACCUCAGGUUUCACGGCCUGUACAGGUGUAAGCCCGGCGGGUACAAGACAGAGCCGUUUGCACAUGUGUCCAUCACCCCUUCGUGGGCUGGGCACACACCUAUGAGCUGGUGCUUCGGUU
rnacentral:rRNA from 1 species